GACAGAGGGUGCAAACGUUGCUCGGAAUUACUGGGCGUAAAGCGCACGUAGGCGGACUCUUAAGUCGGUGGUGAAAUCCUGGAGCUCAACUCCAGAACUGCCUUCGAUACUGAGAGUCUCGAGUCCGGGAGAGGUGAGUGGAACUGCGAGUGUAGAGGUGAAAUUCGUAGAUAUUCGCAAGAACACCAGUGGCGAAGGCGGCUCACUGGCCCCGAUACUGACGGCUGAGGCACGAAAGCGUGGGGAGCAAACGGG
rnacentral:rRNA from 1 species